AGUGUCGGUCAAACAACGCAUUCUCCAAUGCUACGUCGCUUGGAGAGUUUUGUCUGAUACCGUUAAACAUUUAGAAGAUGAUAAUAAACAAAGGUAUCUGGAAAAAUGAGGCACAGAGGACUCGGAUUUCAUGCCGAAGUCGAUGUUUUCGCCGAGAAGAAAUUGGACCGUUAACCCGCUUCCGCUUGUCUUGGACAACUGGAUCGACACAUGGAUCUGGUGGCUCAUUGUGAGACUGUCACCGACUGGUCACUGCAGGCAAGUCGGAGAGUGACAUACCCUGUGUGAAAUCUGCCGCUUCCUGCUUCUGACAAUUGAGUUCCGAAGUCCUCCUUCGUUCCUAGAAAACCGGGACCUUCAAAACCAAAUCGGCGGAAUACUUGUGUAAUUUCUGGAUUGAAUUUCUCUGCAUCUUGUCAUGAUGAACAUGAUUGAAGACUUGAGCUGUUGUGGCUAUAAAGGGAGGAAAUCUCAGCCUAUCCCCCUGACAUCAACCCUAUUGAGAGCCUGUGAUAUCGGUUAUCGGCAAAGAUGUUUUUGGGUUGAAACACCAUUUGAGUGUUGUUCAUAAUUUAGGACAUAUUUAGAGCAGAGGUGGACAAACUGUAGUGCUCGAGGGCGACAUUUGAUUUUUCAUAUCAGACAUUCGUACAGGAGGUGUAUAUAAAAUAUGCAAAAUGUUUAAUCUUGAAGAUAAAACCUAAAUCAAAUCAA